AUUGAACGCUGGCGGAAUGCUUUACACAUGCAAGUCGAACGGCAGCACGGACUUCGGUCUGGUGGCGAGUGGCGAACGGGUGAGUAAUGUAUCGGAACGUGCCCAGUCGUGGGGGAUAACGUAGUGAAAAUUACGCUAAUACCGCAUACGAUCUAUGGAUGAAAGCGGGGGAUCGCAAGACCUCGCGCGAUUGGAGCGGCCGAUAUCAGAUUAGGUAGUUGGUGGGGUAAAGGCCCACCAAGCCAACGAUCUGUAGCUGGUCUGAGAGGACGACCAGCCACACUGGAACUGAGACACGGUCCAGACUCCUACGGGUGGCAGCAGCGGGGAAUUUUGGACAAUGGGCGAAAGCCUGAUUCAGCCAUUCCGCGUGCAGGAUGAAGGCCCUCGGGUUGUAAACUGCUUUUGUACAGAACGAAAAGGUUUCUACUAAUACUAGGAGCUCAUGACGGUACUGUAAGAAUAAGCACCGGCUAACUACGUGCCAGCCGCCGCGGUAA
rnacentral:rRNA from 1 species